rnacentral:rRNA from 1 species
UACGUAGGGUGCGAGCGUUGUCCGGAAUUAUUGGGCGUAAAGGGCUCGUAGGCGGUCUGUUGCGUCAGGAGUGAAAACUCGGGGCUUAACCCCGAGCCUGCUUCUGAUACGGGCAGACUAGAGGUAUGCAGGGGAGAACGGAAUUCCUGGUGUAGCGGUGAAAUGCGCAGAUAUCAGGAGGAACACCGGUGGCGAAGGCGGUUCUCUGGACAGAAACUGACGCUGAGGCGCGAAAGCUAGGGGAGCAAACAGG